CAAUAGCGUAUAUUAAAGUUGUUGCGGUUAAAAAGCUCGUAGUUGGAUUUCUGUUGAGGACGGCCGGUCCGCACUAUGUGCGUGUAUCUGGUUCGGCCUCGGCAUCCUCUCGAAAGCCGUAUCUGCGCUUGACUGCGUGGUUCGGACUUCGGGACUUUUACUUUGAGGAAAUUAGAGUGUUCACGGCAGGCAAGCGCCUUGAAUAUAUUAGCAUGGAAUAAUAAUCUAGGAUCUUGGUCCUAUUUUGUUGGUUUCUAGGGCUAAGAUAAUGAUUAAUAGGGACAAUUGGGGGCAUUCGUAUUAACGCGUCAGAGGUGGAAUUCUUGGAUUGCGUUACGACGAACUACUGCGAAAGCAUUUGCCAAGGAUGUUUUCAUUG
rnacentral:rRNA from 1 species